AACGCACAUUGCGCCCGCCAGCAUUCUGGCGGGCAUGCCUGUUCGAGCGUCGUUUCAACCCUCAAGCCUUGGGCUUGGUGUUGGGGCGCUGCGCCUCUGGCGCAGGCCCCUAAAUACAUUGGCAGGGCCGCUGUAGGUUCCGGGCGCAGUAGUUGCUAUCGCCCUAGGACUUAGGCGGCCCCCGCCAUAAAGCUCCUCUCUGAAAGUCGACCUCGGAUCAGGUAGGGAUACCCGCUGAACUUAA
rnacentral:misc_RNA from 1 species